CGGGACGGGUGAGUAAUGCUUGGGGAUCUGGCUUAUGGAGGGGGAUAACUACGGGAAACUGUAGCUAAUACCGCGUAGUAUCGGAAGAUGAAAGUGCGGGACCGUAAGGCCGCAUGCCAUGGGAUGAGCCCAAGUGGGAUUAGGUAGUUGGUGGGGUAAAGGCCUACCAAGCCUGCGAUCUCUAGCUGGUCUGAGAGGAUGGCCAGCCACACUGGAACUGAGACACGGUCCAG
rnacentral:rRNA from 1 species